ACCCCCGAGGAAAAAACAACAGGGAUUGCCCUAGUAACGGCGAGUGAAGCGGCAACAGCUCAAAUUUGAAAUCUGGCCCUUUUAGGGUCCGAGUUGUAAUUUGCAGAGGGCGCUUUGGCAUUGGCAGCGGUCCAAGUUCCUUGGAACAGGACGUCACAGAGGGUGAGAAUCCCGUACGUGGUCGCUAGCCUUUGCUGUGUAAAGCCCCUUCGACGAGUCGAGUUGUUUGGGAAUGCAGCUCUAAAUGGGAGGUAAAUUUCUUCUAAAGCUAAAUAUUGGCCAGAGACCGAUAGCGCACAAGUAGAGUGAUCGAAAGAUGAAAAGCACUUUGGAAAGAGAGUCAAAUAGCACGUGAAAUUGUUGAAAGGGAAGCGCUUGCAGCCAGACUUGCCUGUAGUUGCUUAUCUGGGCUUUUGCCUAGUGCACUCUUCUGCGGGCAGGCCAGCAUCAGUUUGGGCGGUUGGAUAAAGGUCUCUGUCAUGUACCUCCUUUCGGGGAGGACUUAUAGGGGAGGCGACAUGCAACCAGCCUGGACUGAGGUCCGCGCAUCUGCUAGGAUGCUGGCGUAAUGGCUGUAAGCGGCCCGUCUUGAAACACGGACCAAGGAGUCUAACAUCUAUGCGAGUGUUUGGGUGUCAAGCCCAGACGCGUAAUGAAAGUGAACGGAGGUAGGAACCCUUUGGGUGCACUAUCGACCGAUCCUGAUGUCUUCGGAAGGAUUUGAGUAAGAGCAUGGCUGUUGGGACCCGAAAGAUGGUGAACUAUGCUUGACAGGUGAAGCAGAGGAAACUCUGGUGGGAGGCUCGCA
rnacentral:rRNA from 1 species